AACGAACGCUGGCGGCAUGCCUAACACAUGCAAGUCGAACGAGACCUUCGGGUCUAGUGGCGCACGGGUGCGUAACGCGUGGGAACCUGCCCUUAGGUUCGGAAUAACUCCCCGAAAGGGGUGCUAAUACCGGAUAAUGUCUUCGGACCAAAGAUUUAUCGCCUUUGGAUGGGCCCGCGUUGGAUUAGCUAGUUGGUAGGGUAAAAGCCUACCAAAGCGACGAUCCAUAGCUGGUCUGAGAGGAUGAUCAGCCACACUGGGACUGAGACACGGCCCAGACUCCUACGGGAGGCAGCAGUGGGGAAUAUUGGACAAUGGGCGAAAGCCUGAUCCAGCAAUGCCGCGUGAGUGAUGAAGGCCUUAGGGUUGUAAAGCUCUUUUAGCCGGGAUGAUAAUGACAGUACCGGGAGAAUAAGCUCCGGCUAACUCCGUG
rnacentral:rRNA from 1 species